rnacentral:rRNA from 1 species
GUCCACGCCGUAAACGAUGGGCACUAGGCGUCGGGGGGAGCGACCCUCCCGGUGCCGUCGCUAACGCAGUAAGUGCCCCGCCUGGGGAGUACGGCCGCAAGGCUGAAACUCAAAGGAAUUGACGGGGGCCCGCACAAGCGGUGGAGCAUGUGGUUUAAUUCGAAGCAACGCGAAGAACCUUACCUGGGCUUGACAUGCUGGUGUAAGCCGGUGGAAACAUCGGCCCCUCUUCGGAGCGCCAGCACAGGUGCUGCAUGGCUGUCGU